rnacentral:rRNA from 1 species
AGGACACGGCUGGCGGCGUGCCUAACACAUGCAAGUCGAGCGGGGUAGCCGGAAGGUGUAGCGAUACAGCGGAGGGGGUACCUAGCGGCGAACGGGUGAGUAACGCGUGGGCAAUCUGCCCCGGGGGCGGGAUAACAGACCGAAAGGCCUGCUAAUACCGCAUGAAGCCGUCCUAUCGCAUGAUAAGACGGUAAAAGGGGAAACCCGCCUGGGGAGGAGCCCGCGUCCCAUUAGCUAGUUGGUGGUGUAAAGGACCACCAAGGCGAUGAUGGGUAGCCGGCCUGAGAGGGUGAACGGCCACAUUGGGACUGAGACACGGUCCAGACUCCUACGGGAGGCAGCAGUGGGGAAUUUUGGACAAUGGGCGCAAGCCUGAUCCAGCCAUUCCGCGUGCAGGAUGAAGGCCUUCGGGUUGUAAACUGCUUUUGUACGGAACGAAACGGUCUGCCCUAAUACGGCGGGCUAAUGACGGUACCGUAAGAAUAAGCACCGGCUAACUACGUG